rnacentral:rRNA from 1 species
UAAGUUGAUAGUGAAAGCGUGCGGCUCAACCGCAUACACAUUAUCAAACUGCUCAGCUAGAGGAUGAGAGAGGUUAUUGGAAUUCCCAGUGUAGGAGUGAAAUCCGUAGAUAUUGGGAGGAACACCGAUGGCGUAGGCAGAUAACUGGCUCAUUCCUGACACUAAGGCACGAAAGCGUGGGUAGCAAACGGGAUUAGAUACCCCGGUAGUCCACGCUGUAAACGAUGGAUGCUA